rnacentral:rRNA from 1 species
UACGUAGGGUGCAAGCGUUAAUCGGAAUUACUGGGCGUAAAGCGUGCGCAGGCGGUUUUGUAAGUUUGUCGUGAAAUCCCCGGGCUCAACCUGGGAAUGGCGAUGAAGACUGCAAGGCUAGAAUCUGGCAGAGGGGGGUAGAAUUCCACGUGUAGCAGUGAAAUGCGUAGAGAUGUGGAGGAACACCGAUGGCGAAGGCAGCCCC